AUUGAACGCUGGCGGCAGGCCUAACACAUGCAAGUCGAGCGGGUGAGUGGAGCUUGCUCCAUGAUUCAGCGGCGGACGGGUGAGUAAUGCCUAGGAAUCUGCCUGGUAGUGGGGGACAACGUUUCGAAAGGAAUGCUAAUACCGCAUACGUCCUACGGGAGAAAGUGGGGGAUCUUGGGACCUCGCGCUAUCAGAUGAGCCUAGGUCGGAUUAGCUAGUUGGUGAGGUAAAGGCUCACCAAGGCGACGAUCCGUAACUGGUCUGAGAGGAUGAUCAGUCACACUGGAACUGAGACACGGUCCAGACUCCUACGGGAGGCAGCAGUGGGGAAUAUUGGACAAUGGGCGAAAGCCUGAUCCAGCCAUGCCGCGUGUGUGAAGAAGGUCUUCGGAUUGUAAAGCACUUUAAGUUGGGAGGAAGGGCAGUAAGUUAAUACCUUGCUGUUUUGACGUUACCAACAGAAUAAGCACCGGCUAACUUCGUGCCAGCCGCCGCCGUAACAC
rnacentral:rRNA from 1 species